CCGCUCUGGCUUCUGACAGUUACAGCGGUGAGAGAGAUGUUCCAAGCCUAAAGGAAAGAAGGAUGCAACGUCACCAUCUGGCAUGAAAGGUGGACAAUCAAGAAAGAGGAGGACAAGGAGGAGAGAGACAGAAAGAAAGGUGGAAAAUCGACUCGAAUUAUAGGUUCUGGGAAAACGGAUCCUGAUUUUUAUUUGGUAUCUGGGGAGAAGUCCAGAAAUGUGUACUUUUUCAAAUCGUCUCCAAGUGAUUCCAGUAUGCACUGAGGCAAGAAGCUGGCAAUGGGGAGUUACAGCAAGAGAUAAUAGGAAUUCUGAUACGGAAUGUGCAGAGCUCAACUGCAAGUAAGCUAUAAAGCAGCCUUCGGGUGGUAGUGCCGUGUGCUGCUGCUGCUGUAGCUGGGAUACCUGAACAUCCCAUAUUGACUUCUCAGCUGUUUCAUCAUCC